rnacentral:rRNA from 1 species
GACAGAGGGUGCAAACGUUGCUCGGAAUUACUGGGCGUAAAGCGCGUGUAGGCGGCCACUGCAAGUCGGGUGUGAAAGCCCGAGGCUCAACCUCGGAACUGCCUUCGAUACUGCGGGUCUCGAGUCCGGAGAGGUGAGUGGAAGUACUCAGUGUAGAGGUGAAAUUCGUAGAUAUUAGGAAGAACACCAGUGGCGAAGGCGGCUCACUGGCCCGGUACUGACGCUGAGGCGCGAAAGCGUGGGGAGCGGACAGG